ensembl:snRNA U6 U6 spliceosomal RNA
GUGCUCACAUUGGCAGCACAUAUACUAAAAUUGGAACGGUACAGAAAAGGGUAGCACGGCCCCUGCGCAAGGGCGACACGCAAAUUCAUGAAGUGUUGCAUAUUUUU